rnacentral:rRNA from 1 species
UACGUAGGGCGCGAGCGUUGUCCGGAUUUAUUGGGCGUAAAGAGCUCGUAGGCGGCUUGUUGCGUCAGCUGUGAAAACCCGCAGCUCAACUGUGGGCUUGCAGCUGAUACGGGCAGGCUUGAGUUCGGUAGGGGAGACUGGAAUUCCUGGUGUAGCGGUGAAAUGCGCAGAUAUCAGGAAGAACACCCGUGGCGAAAGCGGCUCGCUGGAACGGUACUGACGCUGAGACGCGAAAGCGUGGGGAGCGAACAGG